rnacentral:ncRNA from 1 species
UUAAAGGCUUUGAAAAAGAGGAGUAUUUUUCCGCUUGCGUUCAGAGAGCAGCCGGUCGGUGCAAGGCUGCGGCAAUGAAAAAGAAGGUAGCUUUGGAGCCGGUGCGGUGAGUUCAGUAGCCGUGCACGCACGCCUGCGUUAUGGGUUUAAGCGGCAUUUUUAUAAUGCAAUUUGAGUGGUACCGCGGAAUUUCAGCUUUCGUCUCAUUA